UUUGACAGAAAUGUUCAAAAUCCUGCAGGAUCUUGACAAAGUGAAUAACGAGCCGUUGCCUGCCCUGGGGAAACGAUCGAGAAUAGGGGAACUGAGAUAGAAUGGUGCCUUCCCGGCUAUACCUGCAGGUGUCUUAAUAAUUAAGGUACUGAAUGUUUCCGCGGCUAAACGGCGUUUCUUCAGGUAGGACGUUUGUCUCAGUGGAAAUAUGGCUGGCAUCCCCUGUGGUCACUAUGAAACUGCUGAAUUGUGAACAACUACCUCGCUCGCUAAUGUUCUCAGGGAAAGUAAAUUUCUCUUCCUCGUUUAAUCCGGCCUGUCCGAGACUUCAAAUACACGGCUUCCUAAUUGCCUGGGUGCAGAAUAUAAUAUAAAUAACUCUUUGGAUACCGGAUACUGUUUAUUGUCGUAUCUAUACGUGGAGGAAUAUCGUGAAAGAAUGAAUCUUGCCCUGCAUAUCUGGACGCUGAUGCCUCUCUUAACGACAACUGCCAGAAAAAUAGAUGUAUUUCAAUCACCACCUUCCAUUGAGACCGUCGAAGGAGAGACAGUCAACCUUCUGUGCACGUAUAACACAACGUAUAAGGGCAUCGGGGCGUUUAUGUGGUA